rnacentral:rRNA from 1 species
UUUAUUUGAUUUCCUUCGGGGAUGAUUGUUCUGUGACUGAGUGGCGGACGGGUGAGUAACGCGUGAGUAACCUGCCCUGGAGUGGGGGACAACAGUUGGAAACGACUGCUAAUACCGCAUAAGCCCACGGCCCGGCAUCGGGCUGAGGGAAAAGGAUUUAUUCGCUUCAGGAUGGACUCGCGUCCAAUUAGCUAGUUGGUGAGGUAACGGCCCACCAAGGCGACGAUUGGUAGCCGGACUGAGAGGUUGAACGGCCACAUUGGGACUGAGACACGGCCCAGACUCC